GUCCAGUCAGGUCGAACCAGCCAGGCUUCCACCUCUCGGGGAUCCUGCUCACGUAGAAAAACGUACCUGUCAGGUACGACAUCGCCAUGGCUAUUUCGUAUGCUAGAGUUACCGGCCGUCGCGACUCGUUCCAGUUAACUGCAGUGGCGUGCACGGCCGGAAUGACACCGGAGAGCCCCAUACCGACAAACAGCAUUGCGCGGUAAGUGCGACA
rnacentral:misc_RNA from 1 species